rnacentral:misc_RNA from 1 species
CGCACCUUGCACUCCUUGGUAUUCCGAGGAGUAUGCCUGUUUGAGUGUCAUGAAAUCAUCAACUUCAUAGUUUUGUUACUUUGAAGCUUGGACUUGGGGGUUGCUGGCUUUGUUGGCUCCUCUUAAAUGCAUUAGCUGCUUGUCUGUGGGUUGGCUCAGAGUGUGAUAAGUUAUCUGCACUUGGUGGCUGCCUGCUUUGGAUGUAGCUUCUAAUUGUCUUUGGACAACCUUUUAAGAUCUGACCUCAAAUCAGGUAGGACUACCCGCUGAACUUAA